rnacentral:rRNA from 1 species
UACGUAGGGGGCAAGCGUUGCUCGGAAUCACUGGGCGUAAAGCGCACGUAGGCGGCUUUCUAAGUCAGGGGUGAAAUCCUGGAGCUCAACUCCAGAACUGCCUUUGAUACUGGAGAGCUUGAGUCCGGGAGAGGUGAGUGGAACUCCGAGUGUAGAGGUGAAAUUCGUAGAUAUUCGGAAGAACACCAGUGGCGAAGGCGGCUCACUGGCCCGGUACUGACGCUGAUGUGCGAAAGCGUGGGGAGCAAACAGG